GCCCAAAAAUUUGUUUCCCUCAGAUGUACCUAUCAUGCUUUCGCUAAACGUAUACAAUAAAGUGAAAUUGUAUUGACACAUUGUAGUUAGGUAGUUGGGUAGUUGGGUAGUUGGGUAGUUGGUUAGUUAGUUAGUUAGUUAGUUAGGUAGGUAGGUAGGUACAUUAUUAUUGUAAAUGUAAAAAGUCAUGACCACCGGGUGGUAGGUGGUACCGGGCGAGACUAUAUGUAUAAUUUACGUAGGUACUAAACAGCUUUGUUUCUUUUCUUGCUAAAACUUUCUACGAAAUAGACUCGUAGUAGACUGUGCAUCAUUGUUCACCCUUUGACAAUAGUCAUUAUCAACGAGUAGUAUUCGUAAUCGUUCCAAGUUCCAACUAUCAUUGUUACCGAAUGGGUACAAGUUGCAGUCGGCAUGCAGCGCGGUAAUAAUAGCAUUCUGGACAAGCCCAGAGAUGACACAACCUGCCAACAAUGACUGCUGCGUAUCGCGUACAUCGGGAUUUUACAGCCAACAGACUCUAUUAUAAUAAAGUGAAAUACCUAUACCGUCCACGAUAUCGAGCACGAGACAGUUUCCGAUCUUGUUAAUAGCAGAUCCAGCAAGUAGUGGGGAUAACUCUAGUUACUCGUGCUUCCUUUUAUUGUAGAAAGAUUAUUACAACUACAAAGACUGUAUAAAGGCUAUUAAACGGUAACUACAAGAAAAGAAACCAUUGAUCGUGUUUGUGUUUGACAUUCGACGCAGCAUUCAGCGACACCGCUUCAAGGACUUAUCGUUGCAUUAUACGAUACAUACACGUAUGCCUGACAUCAGCGCUAUGGAAUCGCGACGAGCGCGUGUAACUUUUUCUAAUGAGGCAAAGGUCACUUCCGGUCAUACGAAAAGCGGAAACGCAGCACGUGCACGCCCGUAUCCGGUCUCGCAUUGUUGUUGCUGUUGCUGUUGCUGUUGAAGCAUUUAAACGAAAAGUUGUUCACAUUGAAAGCUUUACGAGUACAAUUGUCCUAAUAAGAUAUAAUAUUUAAAAAAAUGAAUAAAUCAACCAUUUAUGUUUUCGAAUAACUGGAGAAAACGCCUCAACUAUUCACAAAAAUACUA